AAUGAACGUUGGCGGCAUGGAUUAGGCAUGCAAGUCGAGCGAGAAGAGUUUUGAAGCUUGCUUUAGAACUCGGACAGCGGCGAAAGGGAGAGUAACGCGUAGUUAUGUGCCCUAGGGUCCGGAAUAGCCACGGGAAACUGUGGGUAAUGCCGGAUAACAUCCCCGGGUCAAAGGUGUGAUUCCGCCCUAGGAGCAGACUGCGUCCUACUAGCUAGUUGGUGGGGUAAUGGCCCACCAAGGCAAUGAUGGGUAGCGGGUGUGAGAGCAUGACCCGGCUCACUGGGACUGGGACACUGCCCAGACACCUCCGGGUGGCUGCAGUCGAGAAUCUUCGGCAAUGGGCGAAAGCCUGACCGAGCGAUGCCGCGUGCGGGAUGAAGGCCCUCGGGUUGUAAACCGCUGUCGUAGGGGAGGAAGGUUCCGUGAAGAGCGGAAUUUGACCUAUCCUAGGAGGAAGUACGGGCUAAGUUCGUGCCAGCAGCCGCGGUAA
rnacentral:rRNA from 1 species